UACGUAGGGGGCUAGCGUUGUCCGGAAUCAUUGGGCGUAAAGCGCGCGUAGGCGGCCCGGUAAGUCCGCUGUGAAAAGUCAAAGGCUCAACCUUUGAAUGUCAGCGGAUACUGCCGGGCUAGAGUCCGGAAGAGGCGAGUGGAACUCCUGGUGUAGCGGUGGAAUGCGCAGAUAUCAGGAAGAACACCAACGGCGAAGGCAGCUCGCUGGGACGGAACUGACGCUAAGGCGCGAAAGCGUGGGGAGCGAACAGG
rnacentral:rRNA from 1 species